GAUGAAGAACGUAGCGAAAUGCGAUACGUAGUGUGAAUUGCAGAAUUCAGUGAAUCAUCGAAUCUUUGAACGAACAUUGCACCUCUCGGUAUUCCGGGAGGUAUGCCUGUUCGAGCGUCAUUUGUACCCUCAAGCUCUGCUUGGUGUUGGGUGUUUGUUCCGCCUCUGUGUGUGAACUCGCCUCAAAACAAUUGGCAGCCGGCGUACUUGUUUCGGAGCGCAGCACAUUUUGCGAUCCAGAUCAACGUACAGCGGCAUCCAAGAAGCCUUAUUUAACGCUCUUGACCUCGGAUCAGGUAGGGAUACCCGCUGAACUUAAGCAUAUCAAUAAGCGGAGGA
rnacentral:misc_RNA from 1 species